CACACACACACACACACACACACACACACACACACACACACACACACACACACACACACACUCCAGCAUAUCUGCCUUCAGCAUAUGUCAUCUUCAGCAGAGCAUUGCGGUUGAGGGCUGUCCUGGACUGGGACGAGGCUGAUUUGGGGAAACACCCAGCUGACACAUUAGCCCUGGCUGGCCCUGACACAGAGUCGCCACUGCCUGUCUAAAACACUACCUGGGGCUUUGCUUGUGCCAUGUGGGAUUACCACUACACCGCAUUAGCACCACACUACCCACCCACUGUGUUCCAACAAACCACUCCCACCUGACCCAAAGGUCUGGCAUUCACACAAGGACGUGGCAAUGAGAGGAGGCAAGGCUGAUGCCGGCCGGCGUUACCAUCAUGUUAACCUUAUGUGGCUGUGUCUGUCUGUCUCGCCCCUGGGGUGUGCCACGCCUGGAAACCCAUCCCCAGAGGCACAUGGCCUCCUGCUGGGCUCACAACUCGUGCAAUCCCCCAUGCAAUCUACUAAGCCCCCCUCCCAAUUUCUUUUCGUGUGUCUUCAGAUUUCACCUAAAUCUGAGUGACUCCUCCUUUCUGUAUGUCUCCUCUAAUCUACUGAGGUCAGAAUAAUGUUUGGAAGUGACAUUUUUAUCCAUAUAAUAAAACUGUUUGUUGGAUUUUUGAGUGUUGCUGUUAAGGGAGAGAGUGAAUAUUUUGUAUAAACUAUUCUAUGAGCAUAUAAGCAGUUUGACAUUGCCAAUUAAAUUCUUUUGUUAUAUGAUUAGGCCGAAGACAAUAGACAAAGCAAAACAAAACAAAAAAAAAAACAAAACAAAACAAAACAUCCAAGCAAACUUGAAUAUUGACCUCUGACGCAUAACUGCCAGUGACAAACCUGUCAGUUAAAAACCGGAUACUACCACUCGAACAAAACCAACACAGCAUUGCUCCGUUGUUGCUGUAGGUGUGUCAGAUGUUACCUAAACGCAUCACAAGCCUCCGCCGGGUGAGGACACCGCGGCAAAUGCCCCCGCGUUCCCUUCGUUCGACCCAGACACAACUUAGACACAAGAAGCAAAGAUUACUCUUUCUGUUGGACUCUUACUCACCUGGAAGGCGAACUGUGACGUGGCAUCUCAGGUGCAGGUGGGGAAAAACUCCUUUCCGCCGACUUAAUAGAGACUUGGGAAUUUAAAGCUAUGCCAGAAGACAGGUCACCGUGAGAGCAGGCCGAAUCUUUCGCAGUGGAUGAGUCUGUACAAAAGCUGAAGGGACACUGUCUUUCGAGGGUUCAGUGGUAUUGUUGUGUUCUGACGGGUCGUGUGCUGAUCAAGCUCUAGCUUCAUCCCGCUGAUGGACUUCAAGGUCAUUGGUCAUCAGCAUUGGUGAGACAAAUAAAGCAACGCGGCGCACACGCACAUUUAUUCUUGGCACAGACGCCCACGUUCACUGAAUGCGCAGACAUAAAACGGUGAAGCAGCGGAUCAAUAGCCAGCUUGUGUCCCUGACUUCAUGGAAGGCAGCAGAAAAGCAGAGAUAUUUUGCAAGAUGGGCCGGGAUAAUGCUGGGCAAGUUUAAAAUGGAACAAAAGGAACGCAGCCACUCCAAUACUUGAUCAUUAGAUGUUAGGGAAGGGACAAUUCCCACGGGAUUCAGGAGCCGAUCAGGUGUGGCAGGUCUCGUCCUCCUCCCUGCUCCACAGUGUGUCUUGGCCCGGCAGGAGCGGCCGGCCUCCAGGACCCCUCUCGACUCGCUCCCAGAAGACCCCUGGCUCCGCAGAAACAGGAAACGAAAUCCCAAGCACAGUCGUGAGCGGAGCGUGAAGACGUUUGUACGGUAAACCUGGACUGUGUGGACACACAAAGGCACCUCCAUCGGAGUGAAACCUCCCGUCUGAAGCCACCAGUAAGAGACGAGCGAAGGGAAAAUCCCCCCCGCGCCAACGGGGCAGGCAAACCACAACUGUACUGUAUCACCGUCCCUCGUGCCGCGGAGAAAGGAAAGGUGCGCGCGCGGGAUGCAAUCCAUCAACUCACCCUGAGCAUCAUGGGAGAGUAGCGUUUUGUACCUCAUGUCAUUUUAUUACUGGCAUCACCACCAGUCAUUAAGUCGUCAGGCCGCUAAUACACUAUGAUUAGAUCAGAUUUUAUAUAUUGUGUGAAGCUGCCACAGAUCAGGAGCAGGCAAACUUUUCUGUUCAUUAGAGGCAUCUGUAAAUGUUCAUUUUGUUAAAAACAAAAACACACAUUAAUGCAGAAAUUGAGCUACAUCAAUUAACGGUGGAAACAGCUCCUCCGCCGUCCCGGUGAUGAGGCAUCCACAAAAUAAAAAUAUAUUUACACAGGUGGUUCAAAUUAUUUGAUUGUGUGAAAUAAACAAACAUGUUUUUGUAUAGUGCGAGUGAGUGUGGCGCUGUUUCAGACUAUUCAACAGCUGUUUUGUAAUCAUAAAUUUAAAAUGAGCACUCUGUUAGCUUGUGUUUGUACGGCGUCUGAUUGUUGGUUAAAGCUUUUCACCAUUUAAGCAUCCUGCUGGUUGAAAGAUCCCCUGAAGUUACUGGAAGAAAAAGGCCUCCGGCGUCAUCAGUCCUUCUGAUUACAAUCAGUGGCAUCCAGACGACAGCAUUUGGGAAGAAUUAGAUGCAAAACACCUGUCAUUUUACCUCAGGAAUGCAGCACAAACAACAGAAAGGAGACUUUGGCAAAGUUGGACGGUUGGUCGUUAGUUUCCACACAUCUUUGACUUUCAAACUUCUGGUUGGCGAAGAUGGAUGCUCGUCACUGAGACGACGAGCUGCGGCCCAGUGACCCCCGUUAAAGGUGGAGUGGGGCCCAUCGGAGGCCUGGGCCUCGCCUCCUGUGAGCGUUUCAGGUCCACUAUCAAAGUCCUGCGAGUGGCCACUCACACACACACACACACACACACACACACACACACACACACACACACACACACACACACACACACACACACAGACAGCAGUGACUAAUGUUUGCGUAACGGCGCAGGGAGCAGGAAUCAAAGAGGCUUCCUUACAGGCAUUACACCGACUGUAGUUAGGAAUUCAAAUGACUUCCCAUUCAUCCACGCUCUGCUUUUAUCCAUUUCCCAACUUGUCUAUUGCUUUUCUAUUUAUCUCCCCUCUCUGUCUUCUUCGGGGCCGCGUAUCUCAGUUCACCGCUGGAUGUCUUCGUCUGAGCUAAAGGUGCUCUUUGCCUCCAAUUUAUCUGCCACCGUCUCCUCGUUCCCCACCCCCACGACUCCGGCUUCAUCUCCCUCGCCCCUUCUACCCUCUCGGAUUGACUCUUUCCAAUUAUAUGAACGGUACCUUAAAUCACCCUGUAACAAAUUACCUGACAAAUUAAAAACACCGCUUAUACUUCUGGGCUUUAGCAUUGGCAGUCUUUACCCUUAAUGAAAUUUUGUAAGCCGUACAUCCCGCGUCUGUUGUCAGCCAUUGAUCAAAUCUUCCCUUCCUCCUGCUGUUUUAAUAUGUUUUAUAUAGAUAAUUAUUUCCAGUAGAAGCCCAAGUCUUUGAGGGCAGUGCUCUCGCUGUUUCCUCUUCUUAUUAAUUCUGCUUUCGGGUUUCCCAGACGCUCAAACUGUAGCGUUUAAAGGAAAUACAUUUGCAUGGUUAUGUGCCACACAUCUCAGCCAGUGUGUAGAUCACAUCAGCACCAUGUAAAGCUAAUGUAACUGAUUAAAGACUUACUGUAUAUAGUCGUAGGUAGGUUUAGUACAUUAAUGUCAGUCUACGUGAGCAUCCUUUGCUGCUGCUGCUCCGGGGCACAUCUCACAGGUUUCUCUUUGAGCCAAAUUGAAUGUUUAGAACAUUUGAAAAAUUCAUGAAUAAUAUUUUUCUGCUGUUGCGGGAUUAAUCACAGAAUAAAUUUACUUAUGAAAGGCUUCUCCGCUCUCCGAGAGGCGAGAUUAAAUGAUUCACGCUACAGACAAAUAUAUGUACCUGUGAAGAUAUUUCAACUGUAACCGCGUGCUCAUUUUUCACAUUGUGUAUUCACUGUAACGUCCUAGUAUAAACUGAGUUAUAGAGAUAAUGCUUCCCACUGCGCGCUGUGGGUUUGUGUGUACUGUGAUGGACCUGUUCUUUACUGAGCUUGUGGAUUUGAGUUUAUAGUUCUAAUGGGGAGAACCAACAGGCGAGUUUCACCAGUAAUUCAAGGCGUUACGCGUUGAUAGCAGAUAGAUAUGUUAUAGUAAUUUACAGCUACCCAGCUGCUGUCAGUCAGUACACAGAGUGGAGAAAUCAGCUGCUUGUACGUGUAGCAUGAUAACAGGGAGUAGUAUUGAGUUGUUGUGACUUUUUAUGCCAUGUUUUCUCCUGCUCUUUCUCCCUGUAUUGCACUAAUGGCCUAUUAAACCUGCCAAUUUGCGUUCAGCUGAGUGUGCAAAACCCCCUCAUUGUUGUGAAAGGUCUUAUCAUUAUGAACCAUUCCCUCGGUCUCGGUGUGUACACCGCCUGAAUACCGCUGCAGAGAGCGCGAGGAUCUCUGUCGCGAGCGCAGGCAUUCCAUGCAGUGUGUGUGUGGGGGGGGUCGCCUGGUUGCUGGAUGGAGCGCAGUCAGGAGGAUGCAGAAAGCAGAUGCCGGCGUUGGAGCCGCGCCAAGAUGUGCAGGAGACCUGGACCCGGAGUCUGGAUGGUGCACGUGAACGGAGGCACAGUGAGACGUUUGCUUUUCAGAUGCGGGUUUCAAAUUGGGGGGAAGCUAUAAAAGCGUGUGUCCAGACCUGAGCCUCUCAGUCAAGGCCAGGGACCUGUCAGACAGUUAUAUGACUCAAGAGCACACAGUUAAAGAGAAACGUAAACUUUUAUAAGGUAUAAACCUUUUUUAACUCUUUAUAUAGUUUGGUCACAGGUGGACGUCGCCGGGCCUCGGCUCCAUAAAGUUUCCAAAAUUAUUAACCUUUCUUCCCCGGAAUCUGACCAGAUCCACACUGAAACAAAACCUGACGCAGAGCUGAAAUUGAAUCAGCUCCCUGACCUCCGUGGGCCCCCAGUGAACCCUCCCAACAGGUUUUCAGGGCCAUAAAUCUCCAGGAAAUCGUCGUCCAGCCGAGCAGGAUGCUGGACGCUCAGACGUCUCACCUCAGUCAGAGCCUUUUAACGACAGCUGUGAUGACUUCUCAAGGCAGCUCUCUGCUUCCAGGUCAAACUGAAACGCAUCUAACGCGAAGCUCGACAGCCACAAGGUUACGGUCAUAUUGUUUUAUGAUGGACAGUAACACAGUAUACAGAAUCAAAUCUGGCUGUUUAUGUUUGUCAUAUUUGGCGGCUUAACCCUUUUACACAGACUCAGGUUUUGUCUUAUGGGUUCAAGGUUCCUUUGCUGUGUCCCUUUAACCUUUAAUCAACCAGGUUGCUUGGCUAGUUUAAUGACUGUGAAGCACGUGGUCACGGUCACUGGCAGAAAUAAAACAGCCAUUAACAGCAGUGGGAAUUUGUUAAUAUUAAUUAAUAUUAAGAUGACAUUUCAGGUAAACAUUAAAACCAGCCAAUAUGGGCCUUUCCUACUAUAAAUGCAACCUUGUGCGUCUUCCUGUCUGCUUCCACCUGCGCGUGUGUGGAGCAGCCAGCGAGUCUUCAUUGGGAUGCUAUAAAAGUCAAAACCCAAAUCAGACCCACAGGAGUCUUCUUAGCCCCAAAAAUUUCCCAGCCAGGAGAAGGCAGUUAAACGUUAUGUGUUCUGUGGGAGCACUUUGAACGGAAGAACCUCGACUCGACACGGAGUCCACUCGGGCCGUCGGCAUGUGAUCCGUCCGCGGGGAAGCGAAGGCCGCUAACGUUUGUCACUUCCUGCCUUAUCGCAGACGCAGGACGAGUAAAGUUGACUGCGCUGCGUUUCACUUGUUAACAGGGACCGGGUUUAAUUACGUGCGUGCGUUUGUCCAAAUUUAUUCGAUGUGCAAGUGUUUUGCCCGCAA